rnacentral:tRNA from 1 species
GAGGAUAUAGCUCAGUGGUAGAGCACAUGCCUAGCAUGCAUGAGGUCCUGGGUUCAAUCCUUAGUACCUCCA